rnacentral:hammerhead_ribozyme from 1 species
AUCCAACUGACGUGUCCCGAAUAGGACGAAACACGCAUCCUGUAA